rnacentral:rRNA from 1 species
GAUGAACGCUAGCUACAGGCUUAACACAUGCAAGUCGGGGGGAAACGACAUCGAAAGCUUGCUUUUGAUGGGCGUCGACCGGCGCACGGGUGAGUAACGCGUAUCCAACCUGCCCACCACUUGGGGAUAACCUUGCGAAAGUAAGACUAAUACCCGAUGAUAUCUCUAUAAGACAUCUGAAAGGGAUUAAAGAUUUAUCGGUGAUGGAUGGGGAUGCGUCUGAUUAGCUUGUUGGCGGGGUAACGGCCCACCAAGGCGACGAUCAGUAGGGGUUCUGAGAGGAAGGUCCCCCACAUUGGAACUGAGACACGGUCCAAACUCCUACGGGAGGCAGCAGUGAGGAAUAUUGGUCAAUGGGCGAGAGCCUGAACCAGCCAAGUAGCGUGCAGGAGGACGGCCCUAUGGGUUGUAAACUGCUUUUAUAAGGGAAUAAAGUGAGUCUCGUGAGACUUUUUGCAUGUACCUUAUGAAUAAGGACCGGCUAAUUCCGUG